AAGAGAGAGAAGAAGGGAGAAGAAGAGGGGAGAAGAAGGAAGAUCUGACCUUGUGGAGCAAUAAUGGACCGGAUCUCUUCUUUGUUUUGAGAAAGAUGUCCCUUCUUCGUUCAAUUAUUGCCCCACCAUGACAACAAACCUUUGGUUUGGGUCCACGGAAUAAGUAUAUCUUCUGUAUAAAAUACGUAUACCCAUUUGAUGUUGACGAUUUUUCUCCAAAGUCCAUUUCAUUCUCAGUUUUUGUUGUUGUUUUUUUCCCCUCUUUAAGAUCCUGUCAUUCAUGGUGGUAGAAGAGUGAGCGGAUAGAGAAAGAGAAAAGAGAAUACCAUGAUUGAUAUACGACCCUACCGUUCUGGGGAUUUUGAUUCUGAUGAGAUGAGGCUAAAAAGUAUGAUCAGGGUUUGAGACAUCCUUUUGAUGCUUGUUUGUGGGUUUGAAUUUUCUAGUGCUCUCUGAUUUUGAUUUUGGUGGAAUUGUUAUUGUGGUUUUUUAAAAUUUUAAUGGUGUUGGAAUUUGAUUUUUAACAGUUUCUCUGUUGAUGGGUUUGAAGGAAUUUUGCAUAUGGAACUUUGUAAAACAUUUAGGCUUUCUUGAAGAAAAUCUUGAUUUUAGACCUUCUUCUCAGCUGGAGAAGAAGGAAAAUAAGAAACUACAUUCGCAGAAGCCUUCCUUGUGAGUCCGGAUCCUCGGCCGCACAAGCCUGCGGCCCUCUGUGCGGCACCCAAAAAACGACGUCGUUUUGGAGGAAAUUUCAAUUUAAAAAAGAAAAAAAGCUGAACAGAAAUCAGAGGGGAGGGGAAGAAGAGAGAGAAGAAGGGAGAAGAAGAGGGGAGAAGAAGGGAGAUCUGACCUUGUGGAGCAAUAAUGGACCGGAUCUCUUCUUUGUUUUGAGAAAGAUGUCCCUUCUUCGUUCAAUUAUUGCCCCACCAUGACAACAAACCUUUGGUUUGGGUCCACGGAAUAAAUCCUGUCAUUCAUGGUGGUAGAA